GUUGCGGUGCGUUACUAUGACGCAGUCUUCACGUCUUAAAUACAAAAACGUAGACGUCGCACGAGUACACCCCCUCUCGCUUCGUCUCGGGGGCUGCUGUCCGUCAUGUGUGCCGUGCGAACACCUUGGUUAUUUGUAUGUAAAACAACGCAAGGACAGCGCUGCGACGACGCAACGCAACGCAACGCGCCGUGUGGACUGGCUCUAACUCGAACUAUAUAUAGCAAGGUUUCUGUCGGUCGUGAAUAUACAUAUAUAAUCCGCACGGUAUCGUACAAGUUCUUUUUUCUAACUUUCCAGAUUAAUUUAAAAUUCCUUCUAUUAUAAAAUCUUGUUCCGACCAUCCGAUACUAAAUAUCGCAUCCGAUUCGGUGCAGUAAUUCGGGAGAUGUUUGUUAUUCCUUGAAACAAGCGAAAUGAGUUUGCUCGCGUAUGUUGUCGCAAGCUACAUGUCGAUGCAGUUGACUGGUGUCGCAGGUUCUUCAAACAUUGAGUCCAGUGCUAAACCUCCUGAGUAUUAUAUACCACAUGAUCGAUUUACAUAUAAUCAGGGGGAUAAUUUAUAUAUAAACGUCGCCCCGACAAACGUACCAUAUCACAGUGAUAACGCCAUCGUCAAGUUUUACAGCAAUGGAUUGUAUCCACAUUGUACAAACUUGAAGGAACUGAUUGACUCUACUGACUACAAAACUUAUCAGCUAACGGACUCUUAUAUAAAUAUUGGCAUGCAUAUAAUCUAUAAUAGUACCACAAUAUGUAGGUACAACCUGGUGAAAGGAUCAGCAAG